AAGUUGGUUAAUUUGGAAACUGGGAAACACAUAGUCUCAAGAUGUGAAUUAGGGGGUUCGAAUCCUCACCAACUCA
rnacentral:tRNA from 1 species